AACGAACGCUGGCGGCGUGCCUAAGACAUGCAAGUCGUGCGGAAAGGCUCCUUCGGGAGCACUCGAGCGGCGCACGGGUGAGUAACACGUGGGGAAUCUACCUGAGGGUCUGGGACAACUCCGGGAAACUGGGGCUAAUACCAGAUAAGACCACGACGUCCUCGGACGCAGCGGUCAAAGAUGGCCUCUCCUUGGAAGCUCUCGCCCUCAGAUGAGCACGCGGCCCAGUAGCGAGUUGGCGGGGUAACGGCCCACCAAGGCGACGAUGGGUAGCGGGUCUGAGAGGAUGAUCAGCCACACUGGAACUGAGACACGGUCCAGACUCUUACGGGAGGCAGCAGUCGGGAAUUUUGGGCAAUGGGCGAAAGCUUGACCCAGCAACGCCGCGUGAGGGAUGAAGGCCUUCGGGUCGUAAACCUCUGUCGGGAGGGACGAAAGGCGCGCGGGUGAACAAUCCGCGUACUUGACGGUACCUCCAAAGGAAGCGCCGGCUAACUCCGUGCCAGCAGCCGCCGUAAAAC
rnacentral:rRNA from 1 species